AACGGUAGCACAGAAGAGCUUGCUCUCGGGUGACGAGUGGCGGACGGGUGAGUAAUGUCUGGGAAACUGCCUGAUGGAGGGGGAUAACUACUGGAAACGGUAGCUAAUACCGCAUAACGUCGCAAGACCAAAGAGGGGGACCUUCGGGCCUCUUGCCAUCAGAUGUGCCCAGAUGGGAUUAGCUAGUAGGUGGGGUAACGGCUCACCUAGGCGACGAUCCCUAGCUGGUCUGAGAGGAUGACCAGCCACACUGGAACUGAGACACGGUCCAGACUCCUACGGGAGGCAGCAGUGGGGAAUAUUGCACAAUGGGCGCAAGCCUGAUGCAGCCAUGCCGCGUGUAUGAAGAAGGCCUUCGGGUUGUAAGUANNUUCAUGAGGGAGGAAGGGGCUGUUUU
rnacentral:rRNA from 1 species